GCACCCGUGGCCUAGUGGCUAGCGCUCCUGUUUUUGAAUCCCGAGGUCCCGGGUUCGACCCCCACCAGUGCC